AUUCCAAGGAAUAUAGAGUCAGAAACCUUACAAGUUAAUUUCACUAUGAAGAGCCACUGUGUUUCAUGUCUCAUACUACUGCUGAGUAGUGUAGUCUACACAACAUAACAGUAUGGGUUUACCACAGUCUGCUUGACAAAUGUAGUUUCAAUACCUUUUCCACACUGCUGAGUAGUGUAGUCUACACAACAUAACAGUAUGGGUUUACCACAGUCUGCUUGACAAAUGUAGUUUCCAAUACCUUUUCCACACUGCUGAGUAGUGUAGUCUACACAACAUAACAGUAUGGGUUUACCACAGUCUGCUUGACAAAUGUAGUUUCCAAUACCUUUUUCACACUGCUGAGCAAACCAAGCUGGCCUGGUUACUCAUUAACUGUAGAUGCUGGAACCGUGUAGGAGAAGACGAUGUGUUUGUAUCGGUCCCUACCCAAAUAAACCAUACAUUAAAAUUACAAAUAACUGUGGAAAGGAGGAACGUUAGUAUUCAGUAACAAGAGAAGUGUUUCAGACUAAAACAACACAUUGAUUCAUAACGAGGUCCUAGUUAGUUAGUACUAUACAACAGGGAGGUCCUAGUUAGUUAGUACUAUACAACAGGGAGGUCCUAGUUAGUUAGUACUAUACAACAGGGAGGUCCUAGUUAGUUAGUACUAUACAACAGGGAGGUCCUAGUUAGUUAGUACUAUACAACAGGGAGGUCCUAGUUAGUUAGUACUAUACAACAGGGAGGUCCUAGUUAGUUAGUACUAUACAACAGGGAGGUCCUAGUUAGUUAGUACUAUACAACAGGGAGGUCCUAGUUAGUUAGUACUAUACAACAGGGAGGUCCUAGUUAGUUAGUACUAUACAACAGGGAGGUCCUAGUUAGUUAGUACUAUACAACAGGGAGGUCCUAGUUAGUUAGUACUAUACAACAGGGAGGUCCUAGUUAGUUAGUACUAUACAACAGGGAGGUCCUAGUUAGUUAGUACUAUACAACAGGGAGGUCCUAGUUAGUUAGUACUAUACAACAGGGAGGUCCUAGUUAGUUAGUACUAUACAACAGGGAGGUCCUAGUUAGUUAGUACUAUACAACAGGGAGGUCCUAGUUAGUUAGUACUAUACAACAGGGAGGUCCUAGUUAGUACUAUACAACAGGGAGGUCCUAGUUAGUUAGUACUAUACAACAGGGAGGUCCUAGUUAGUACUAUAAAACAGGGAGGUCCUAGUUAGUUAGUACUUUACAACAGAUGACGCACCGAGAGAUACAUGUACCCAAUCCUAAAUCAACCCCUAGUCCCUACUUGUCUAG